UAGGGAAUCUUCGGCAAUGGGGGGAACCCUGACCGAGCAACGCCGCGUGAGUGAAGAAGGUUUUCGGAUCGUAAAGCUCUGUUGUUAAGGAAGAACGAGUGUGAGAAUGGAAAGUUCAUGCUGUGACGGUACUUAACCAGAAAGGGACGGCUAACUACGUGCCAGCAGCCGCGGUAAUACGUAGGUCCCGAGCGUUGUCCGGAUUUAUUGGGCGUAAAGCGAGCGCAGGCGGUUAGAAAAGUCUGAAGUGAAAGGCGGUGGCUCAACCAUUGUAGGCUUUGGUAACUAUUUAACUUGAGUGCAGAACGGGAUAGUGGAAUUCCAUGUGUAGCGGUUAAUUGCGUAGAUAUAUGGAGGAACACCGGUGGCGGGAGCGGCUCGCUGGUCUGUAUCUGUCGCUGAGGCUCGAAAGCGUGGGGAGCGAACAGG
rnacentral:rRNA from 1 species